rnacentral:rRNA from 1 species
UGGUGGAGUGAUUUGUCUGGUUAAUUCCGUUAACGAACGAGACCUUAGCCUACUAACUAGUUGACUCGUUGCUAAGCGAGCUUAACUUCUUAGAGGGACUUUGUGACUAAACACAAGGAAGUUUGAGGCAAUAACA